rnacentral:rRNA from 1 species
AUUGAACGCUGGCGGCAGGCCUAACACAUGCAAGUCGGGCGGAUGAAGGGAGCUUGCUCCUGGAUUCAGCGGCGGACGGGUGAGUAAUGCCUAGGAAUCUGCCUGGUAGCGGGGGAUAACGUCCGGAAACGGGCGCUAAUACCGCAUACGUCCUGAGGGAGAAAGUGGGGGAUCUUCGGACCUCACGCUAUCAGAUGAGCCUAGGUCGGAUUAGCUAGUUGGUGGGGUAAAGGCCUACCAAGGCGACGAUCCGUAACUGGUCUGAGAGGAUGAUCAGUCACACUGGAACUGAGACACGGUCCAGACUCCUACGGGAGGCAGCAGUGGGGAAUAUUGGACAAUGGGCGAAAGCCUGAUCCAGCCAUGCCGCGUGUGUGAAGAAGGUCUUCGGAUUGUAAAGCACUUUAAGUUGGGAGGAAGGGCAGUAAGUUAAUACCUUGCUGUUUUGACGUUACCAACAGAAUAAGCACCGGCUAACUUCGUG